CCUACGGGAGGCAGCAGUGAGGAAUAUUGGUCAAUGGCCGGAAGUCUGAACCAGCCAAGCCGCGUGAAGGACGAAGGUGCCAAGCAUUUUAAACUUCUUUUGUCGGGAGGUAAUAUCAUGCUCGUGAGCCUGCCCGAGAGUACUUUAAGAACAAGCAUCGGCUAACUCCGUGCCAGCCGCCGUGGUACGACGGAGGAUGCGAGGGUUAGCCGGAUUUAGUGGGUUUAAGGGGUUAGUAGGCGGAAUGUUAAGCCAGCGGUAAAAGCCCGGGGCUAAACCCCGGCGAGCCGUUGAAACUGGGGGGCUGGAGAGGGCGAGAGGUAGGCGGAAUGCGCAGUGUAGCGGUGAAAUGCUUAGAUAUUGCGAAGAACUCCGAUUGCGAAGGCAGCAUACCGGAGGCGAUCUGACGCUGAGGCACGAAAGCGUGGGUAUCGAACAGGAUUAGAUACCCGUGUAGUC
rnacentral:rRNA from 1 species